rnacentral:rRNA from 1 species
UACAGAGGGGGCAAGCGUUGUUCGGAAUUACUGGGCGUAAAGGGCGCGUAGGCGGCCUGUUAAGUCGAACGUGAAAUCCCCGGGCUCAACCCGGGAACUGCGUCCGAUACUGGCAGGCUUGAAUUCGGGAGAGGGAUGCGGAAUUCCAGGUGUAGCGGUGAAAUGCGUAGAGAUCCGGAAGAACACCGGUGGCGAAGGCGGUCGACUGGGCCAGUACUGACGCUGAGGCGCGACAGCGUGGGGAGCAAACAGG